CCUACGGGGGGCAGCAGUGAGGAAUAUUGGUCAAUGGUCGGGAGACUGAACCAGCCAAGCCGCGUGAGGGAUGAAGGUACAGAGUAUCGUAAACCUCUUUUGUCAGGGAACAAAGGCGGGGACGUGUCCCCGGCUGAGUGUACCUGAAGAACAAGCAUCGGCUAACUCCGUGCCAGCAGCCGCGGUAAUACGGAGGAUGCGAGCGUUAUCCGGAUUUAUUGGGUUUAAAGGGUGCGCAGGCGGUCUGUUAAGUCAGCGGUCAAAGCCCGGGGCUCAACCCCGGCCCGCCGUUGAAACUGGCAGUCUCGAGUUGGAGAGAAGUAUGCGGAAUGCGCGGUGUAGCGGUGAAAUGCAUAGAUAUCGCGCAGAACUCCGAUUGCGAAGGCAGCAUGCCGGCUCCACACUGACGCUGAGGCACGAAAGCGUGGGUAUCGAACAGGAUUAGAUACCCCAGUAGUC
rnacentral:rRNA from 1 species